AGCUGUUGCUUCCUUCCUACUCCCUCCCACACACCCAGGAGCUCCAGCCUGUUAUGGGAUGGGCAUCCUACCAGGAACCAAGGAUGCUAAGAUGUCCUCCAAAAUGGAUUGCCUCAUAUCUAGUACCCGCCUGCUGCAGGCUUCUUCAUCUAGUUCCUCUGGGGACACACUGUGCAGCUAAUUCAUCCAGGCAGAUUCACUGGGAAGCUGUUGCUCAUGAGGGUAUUUCUGAGACUUUUUUUUGUGACCUUGCUGUAUGACUGGUGUAAUGAAGAAUCUCCAGGUGGAGAAAUGAUCCUGAAUUAUCCAGUGGGCCCUACAUGUCACCACAUUGCGAUCCUUCUAAGUAGGAAGCAGAAGAUCUGACACAUGCAGGAGAGGGGAAGGCAAUGUGACCAUGGAGGCAGAGAGGGGAGUGAUGUGGCCACAAACCAAGGAUUGUUGGCAGCUGCCAGUGGCCGAAGGGGCAAUGAAUGGAUUCUCCUUUGGAGCCUCUGGAGGGAGAAUGGCCCUGCUAACACCUUGAUUUUGGCCCAGUGAUACUGAUUUUGGACUUCUGCCCUCUAGAACUGUGAGGGAAUACUUUUCUGUUGCUUUAAGCCAUUGAAUUUAUGAUGAUUUGUUACAGCACCCACAGGAAACAAAUGCAUGGAUCUAACUUGAACCUAGUGAGUUAGAUUACUUCAGGGAAACACAAUAAAUAGUUAACAGGGCUUGUCAGGGGGGUGGGAGUGAGAUGAAAGUGUGAAGGCAACUUCUAUGGUUUACUUUUAUAUUUCCCUAUUUUUCAAAUCUUUUGCAAGAAAAUGAAUUCAUAUACUAUUUUAAAAAACAUAUAAAAUAUGAGCAAAAAGAUUUAUUGUAUCUCUUUAAAAUAAUUUAGAACAAGUAAUGGCUGCAGAACCUUAAAGGGUUUUUCUAGCAUGUUUCCAAGAUACAGUCUUGAUUAUUUGAGAUUGACAUGAAGAUGGCCCAGACUGUGCCACAACACAGCACUUGACACCAAAUGUUAGACUGUAAUGGGCCGUGUGAGUAUUACUCAGUGUGGCCAUUUCAUUAUCAAAUAUCUAUUUAUUUCAGAUUUCAAACACGAAUACAAGCUUCUCCUUUCUUUCCUUCCUUUCUCUUUUUCUCCUUUCUACAGCAAGUUCAGGAAUGUGCUAGGUAUGACCUGGGAUAGAAAGAGCAUAUACUCAGCUUUUGCCUUCAAGAAAAUUGGAUAUUGGCUUGGGAGAUAAGAUAAAUGAAAAGGAAGCAGAUGAUCUGUUAUAGAAGAGAUAACACUGUAAGCCCAAAUGUAUGUGAUUAAGUUCUAAAAGUGUAAACCAAUAGGGAGUGCUGUGAGGUGUCACCACGGGCGCAGAUUGCAGCAGAUCUGACCAUACAAGUGUAAAUAAAACCCUAUUGAAUGCCCCCUCUCCCUCCCCAAUUGUUCUGAGUGGUUGCUUCAAGAUUUCUUCUCAUCGUUCUCAAAUUGUUACUGUGAGAUUAACUGGCAAACAUUUCUCCUUAACAUAAGAAGUGUGAAUGGAAUCCUACCAAGUGAUUUUGCCAAUAGUUCCUAUUCCUGCUGCAAACAGUGGUGUGCUCAGGCUUAAGCUGUAACAUGUCCACACUCACCUGUCACUUGGGAAUGCCUCUGUUGGAAUGCAACAUGCCCACUUAUCACACAGCCGGCAUGAGAGGCAGAGUGGAGUUUAACCAAGCAUUCUGCCCCCAAAGUCUGCAGAUGUAGCCAGUGCCUUCAGAAAAGGGAAGGGAAACUAACCCUGUUGAGUAUCUACUAUGUGCUAGGCAUUCUGUUAAGCACUUUUACACACAUCAUUUAAUCCUCGUGACAGUAUUUAGAAAUAGCUAUCAUUUCCCAGUUCUGUAGAUGAGGAAGAAAAGGUAGGCUCAGAGAGGGUAGGUAAGUUGUCUAAGGUCACAUAGCUGGUACAUAGUAGUAGAGCUAGGGUGCAAACCCAAGAUUUUCUGAGUCCAAAGCACAUGCCUAUUCCAUCAUUUCGGUAAUAAGAAUAAAUGUCUUUCAAAUGUAGUGGUGAGAGAUGAAUAAAAAGCCGUCCUUGGUGAUCCUGGGGAGUCUACACCCUCUGCCUGCCUGGCUCCACAUCAAGCUUGUGUUUGCCAGCACUUACACCCCUGCAUUUCCCUCCAAUCCCUGUCAUCUCCCUUGUGGAGUCCUCUCCUCCUCUCCUACCCGUUGGUCCCCUUUUUCACCCAUCCUUCAGCCAUUUAAUGAUCUCAUCUUUAAUUCCUGUUUAUAACUCCAUGAGCUCCUCGAUCACUGUCUCCUGAGAUGUCCUUUUUGUCACUGGAACUUGUAUUAAAGUGGUUUUGUAAUGGG
rnacentral:lncRNA from 1 species